GUAUUCACUUCAGCAGCACAUAUACUAAAAUUGGAAUGAUACAUAGAAGAUUAGCAUGAUUCCUGCACAAGGAUGACACACAAAUCGCGAAGCAUUCCAUAUUUUU
rfam:Tupaia chinensis contig109581, whole genome shotgun sequence.